rnacentral:lncRNA from 1 species
CCAGAUUGAAAAAGUAAGGCUCUACAUGUUUCAAGAAGGGUUCUGUGCUUUUUUUCAACAACAUCAUUAUGUUGAGGUGAACGAGGGCAGGAGAUUUGAUGAAUAAUCCCCUGGCUACUAAAGAAAGAUAUGCCCUCAUUGCUGGAUCCCAAUUCUAAGGCAUUGUCACUUCUAACAGUCUGGACCACAGUGUUAAACUGAGUUUUAACAAAAGAGAUGAAAGACUUAAGCAAAGAAAAAGCAGUGCUUUUAGAUCCCAUUAAGUGUGUCCAGGUUGCCCUAGAAAAAUCAUCAACUAUAGUAAGGAAGUAUUUAUAACCAGAAGAAGUAGAAGUGCGGUAANNNNNNNNNNNNNNNNNNNNCCAGGUUGCCCUAGAAAAAUCAUCAACUAUAGUAAGGAAGUAUUUAUAACCAGAAGAAGUAGAAGUGUGGUAAGGCCCCCAAGUAUCCACAUGUAUUAACUGGAAUGGUCUAGUGGUACUGAUACUGCUGUCAUGAAAAGAGAGUCUAGUCUGUUUGGCCAUAGGGCAGACAGAACAAGGAAAAGGUUGUUUAGAAGCAAGUGGCCAACAAUUUUGCUGUCAGACACAUUGUCAUCAUUACAAAAAUCAGACAAAGCACACACAGAAGUAAAAGGAGAACCAGGAGAGAAAGAAGUGGAAGAAGGCACCCAAGACAGUUUGUAUAAGCCAGCAUCCUCUUUACCAAGAUCCAGAGGCCUCUUCAGAGAAGGGUCCUGUAUCAUGUGAAGUAAACAGGAAGUUGGAGUGAACCAGUGCAACUAUUUUAUCAACUUGUGAACAAAAAUCAAGUUGUGCUUAAAGGAAGGAACCAGAAGCACAUUUUGAAGAGUAAGGGAAGAAGUUAAUGCAAAAGAACCUGUACAAGUUACUUUCACUUUGUAACCAUUAGGCAGAGUUACAAGAUAAGGAACAAUCAAAGGUAUGAUGUUAAAGAGUAGGUUUUUAUCAUGUGUCAUAUGAUUAGAUGCCCCUGAAUCUAUGAUCCAGGUGACAGAAUUAAUAUGUGUAAGC